UUUACAUGCCAGAACCAAUGAAGAAUAUCUUCUAGACAUAGGACAGAUUGAAUGAGGUUAGAGGAAGCCAGUAUCCUAGUCUAGAAUGUCUAGAAAGUAAAUCGAGGACCCGUGGUCACACAACACAUUGGAGCAAGGCACGGACAUCAUCCUCAGGACAACAGCGGUACGCAGUUUGGGAUCUCUUUUCUCUCUGUAGACUAGCAGCCUUUAGCGUGCACCAAUCACACUGAGAGAUAAAGGAAUCACUUCUGCCUUUGUGACCACUCCAACCAGAGGGCAAGUCAGGCCCAAAUAAUCUAUCCAAUUUGGAAGGGGACAGAAAUUCAUUUUUCAUAAUGUGUGACUGAAAUUCAACAUGUGCAGUUAUAACUACUACUGAAGAUGCAGAAUUCAGAGUACAAUCUUAAUAUUAGAAUGAAGUAUUCCAGAGUUCAGGGAAAACUAAGUACCAAGUCUCUCUCUCUAUUAGGAUCUGCUACUAGGGGCACUAAGGACGUCAAAGCUGGAGGAAGCAGCAGAAACUUGCUCCUUCCUGUACCUCUAGGAAGCUCCUUGGCUGCCGGUGGAUCCUGUGAGCAUCACUCUGCAAGGCAUUGCCACCCCAGCAACAGCAGUGCCUUUUUGUGGCUGCAGCUGAAUAUAGUUUGCAGUUUUGUCCAGCACUUGGAGAACCAAGUCAAUCGGCACUUUCCCAGCCACCAUUCCUCUCAGAGGUCUGGAUCCCAGCUUCCCAGACAGGGCCUCUCCUCUGAGUGCAGAGAUAUCAGCACGCGCCCAGCAGCACCUCCUCCUUAGAGGUCCGAGUUUGAGCUUCCCAGGCCUUGCCUCUGAGUUUCUAAGUUUUUCCCUUUGUUCCCUCAA